rnacentral:rRNA from 1 species
AUUGAACGCUGGCGGCAUGCCUUACACAUGCAAGUCGAACGGUAACGGGCCUUCGGGUGCCGACGAGUGGCGAACGGGUGAGUAAUACAUCGGAACGUGCCCGAUCGUGGGGGAUAACGAGGCGAAAGCUUUGCUAAUACCGCAUACGAUCUACGGAUGAAAGCAGGGGACCGCAAGGCCUUGCGCGGACGGAGCGGCCGAUGGCAGCCUAGGUAGUUGGUGGGAUAAAAGCUUACCAAGCCGACGAGCUGUAGCUGGUCUGAGAGGAUGAUCAGCCACACGGGGACUGAGACACGGCCCAGACGCCUACGGGAGGCAGCAGUGGGGAAUUGUGGACAAUGGGCGCAAGCCUGAUCCAGCCAUGCCGCGUGCAGGAUGAAGGCCUUCGGGUUGUAAACUGCUUUUGUACGGAACGAAAAGCCUUCUUUUAAUACAGGAGGGUCAUGACGGUACCGUAAGAAUAAGCACCGGCUAACUACGUG